rnacentral:rRNA from 1 species
UACGAAGGGGGGCUAGCGUUGCUCGGAAUUACUGGGCGUAAAGCGCACGUAGGCGGUCUUUUUAAGUCGGGGGGUGAAAUCCUGGAGCUCAACUCCAGAACUGCCUUCGAUACUGGAAGACUUGAGUCCGGGGAGAGGUGAGUGGAACUGCGAGUGUAGAGGUGAAAUUCGUAGAUAUUCGCAAGAACACCAGUGGCGAAGGCGGCUCACUGGCCCGGUACUGACGCUGAGGGUGCGAAAAGCGUGGGGGGAGCAAAACAGGG